AUGCAUGCCGAUUCCGAGCACCGGCCGCGCCCGCCUGACAGCUGCUCGCUACGGUUUGUUAGCC
rnacentral:sRNA from 1 species